rnacentral:piRNA from 1 species
UCCAUUUCCCAUCAGUAACUAAGACUAUGU